rnacentral:rRNA from 1 species
AGUGAACGCUGGCGGUAGGCCUAACACAUGCAAGUCGAACGGCAGCACAGUAAGAGCUUGCUCUUACGGGUGGCGAGUGGCGGACGGGUGAGGAAUACAUCGGAAUCUACUUUUUCGUGGGGGAUAACGUAGGGAAACUUACGCUAAUACCGCAUACGACCUACGGGUGAAAGCAGGGGAUCUUCGGACCUUGCGCGAUUGAAUGAGCCGAUGUCGGAUUAGCUAGUUGGCGGGGUAAAGGCCCACCAAGGCGACGAUCCGUAGCUGGUCUGAGAGGAUGAUCAGGCAAACUGGAACUGAGACACGGUCCAGACUCCUACGGGAGGCAGCAGUGGGGAAUAUUGGACAAUGGGCGCAAGCCUUAUCCAGCCAUACCGCGUGGGUGAAGAAGGCCUUCGGGUUGUAAAGCCCUUUUGUUGGGAAAGAAAAGCAGCAGGUUAAUACCCCGCUGUUCUGACGGUACCCAAAGAAUAAGCACCGGCUAACUUCGUG